rnacentral:rRNA from 1 species
CCCUUAGAUGUUCUGGGCGGCCCGCGCACUACAUUGGCACUCUCAAUAAGUUCCUAGAUCUAAAACUUUGGGGUAUUCUAUUAAGUGGUGUCGUGACUGGGAUUAACCCUUGCAAUUAUUGGUUACGAACGAGGAAUUCCUUGUAAUCGCGGUUUAUCAGCCCGCGUUGAAUGCGUCCCUGCCCUUUGUACACACCGCCCGUCGCUCCUACCGAUUGAAUGUUCCGGUGAGCUCUUCGGACUGCGCGGUCUGCAGUUUCUGCGUUCCGUGCGGAAAGUUGCGCAAACCUUAACAUUUAGAGGAAGGAGAAGUCGUAACA